rnacentral:lncRNA from 1 species
GGGUUGGGGGUGGUCAAGGGUUGGUCAACUGGGGUUGGUGGUGGGCAAAAUUUGGUCAACGGGGGUUUGGGGUGGUCAAGGGUUGGCCAAUUUGGGUUUGGGGUGGUCAAAAGUUGGCCAAUUUGGGUUUGGGGUGGUCAAGGGUUGGCCAAUGGGGGUUGGGGGUGGCCAGUGGUCAUCGGGGUUGGCCAAGGGUCAUGAGGGGUGGCCAAUGGUCAUCAGGGGUGGUCAAGGGUUGGCCAAUGGUCAUUGGGGAUGGCCAAUGGUCAUCAGGGGUGGUCAAGGGUUGGCCAAUGGUCAUUGGGGAUGGCCAACGGUCAUCGGGGUUGCCCAAUGGUCAUCGGGGGUGGCCAAUGGUCAUCGGGGGUGGCCAACAGUCAUCGGUGGUGGCCAAGGGUUGCCCAAUGGUCAUCGGGGUGGCCAAUGGUUGCCCAAUGGUCAUCAUGGGUGGCCAACGGUCAUUGGAGGUGGCCAAUGGUCAUCGGGGGUGGCCAACGGUCAUCAGGGGUGGCCAAUGGUCAUCUGGGGUGGCCAGUGGUCAUCGGGGUUGCCCAAUGGUCAUCGGGGGUGGCCAACGGUCAUUGGGGAUGGCCAAUGGUCAUCGGGGGUGGCCAGUGGUCAUCAGGGGUGGCCAAUGGUCAAGGGUUGCCCAACGGUCAUUGGGGUGGCCAAGGGUCAUCAGGGGUGGCCAAUGGUUGCCCAAUGGUCAUUGGGGAUGGCCAGUGGUCAUCAGGGGUGGCCAACAGUCAUCGGGGGUGGUCAAGAGUUGGCCAAUGGUCAUCGGGGGUGGCCAACGGUCAUCGGGGGUGGCCAAUGGUCAUCAGGGGUGGCCAGUGGUUGCCCAAUGGUCAUCAUGGGUGGCCAACAGUCAUCAGGGGUGGUCAAGAGUUGGCCAAUGGUCAUCGGGGGUGGCCAAUGGUCAUUGGGGGUGGCCAACGGUUGCCCAAUGGCCAUCGGGGUGGCCAAGGGUCAUCGGGGGUGGCCAGUGGUCAUCAGGGUCCCCCCCCCUCAACCCGUCCCACCCCGACGCCCCCCCCUCCUUCCUCCCCCACCUUCAGCGCCGCCUCCUCCUCUUCCUCCCCUUCCUCCCCUUCCUCCUCCUCCUCCUCCUCGCAGACGUCGCGAGCUCCGGCCACCACCGCGACCUCCAGGGCGACCUCCAAGGAGACGGGGCGACCCCCCAAAUCCCGGGGGGCCACGCGCACCACCCCCAGCUGCUCGAAGCCGUGCCGGGCCCCCUCGGCCAUGGCGGCCCUGGGGGGG